CAACCUGCAUCCUCAUGGAUGCUAGUCAGAUUCAUUUCUGCUGAAUCACGACGGGAACUCCGACUUUGGAGUCUCAUUUUCUCCACCUGACACCCCCACGAGGCAGCACUUGAACCUUCCAUGGCACAAGCUUCCGUUUUGAACCCAAACUGAGAGGGAGGAACAGGCAGGUGACCAUUUACCGGUGACGAGAGGUGCUGCCCUUUGUUAAGUACCAAGUGGGUGUCAGGCAGUGAUGGCCUUGUACUUACAAUAUCUCCUCUGGGAGAUAAUGUCCUCACUUUGCAGAUAAGGACAUUCAAGCUCAGUGAGGUUAAGUGACUUAUUUCGGGUCCCUUCGAACCAGGUGCAAGAAUGGUGGCUAUUCACUUUGGAAAAACAGUCUGGCAGUUCCUCAGUAGGUUAAACGUAGAGUUACCAUAGGACCCGGCAAUUCCAUUCCUGAGUAUGUACGUACCUAAGAGAAGUGAAAACGUAUGUUCAUGGCCAUACAUUGCAAUACAAAGCCUGUACACCAGUGUUCACAGCAGCAUUGUUCAUAAUAGCCAAAAAAGUAGAAACAACCCAAACAUCCAUCAAAUAAUGAAGGACAAAUAAAGUGUGGUCCAUACAUAGAGUGGGCUAUCCUUUGUCGGUAAAAAGAAAUGAAGUAUUGAUCCAUCCUGAGCCUGAACUUUAAAAACUUUACGUAAACGAAAUCAUUCGCAAAAAACACAGACUCUUGCAUGAUCCUGUUUAUACAAAACGUCCAGCAUGUAGAGAAAAUAGAUCAGUGGCUGCCAGGGGCUGUGGGGGAAAUGGAGAGUGACUGACAACGGUUCCAGAAUUUCACUUUUGGGUGAUGAACGAAUCCCCCAGAACUGAUUCUGUUUGCUUCUCAAUUGCUUCUAAAUUCUAAAUUGGCUUUAAAUUGGAUUGUGAUGAUCAUUGUACAACUCUGUGAAUAUUCUAAAGACCAUUGGCUUGUAUACUUUAGAUGGGUGAAUGGGUGAUAAUAUCUAAAUAAAGGUACAAAAAAUUGGUGGCUACUGCCCACUUUGCUUCUAGGGAGAGGCCAUACCACUUGGAUUGGGGAGUAACCAGAGACAUUUCUAAGAACAGAGGCCCAGGUACCAAACAGCAAGCAGCAGCAUCUGGCUUUGAAAGUAAAUGCAAAAUGCCGGGCCCCGUGCUAAGCACCUUACAUACGUUAUCGGAUUUCAUCAUCACACUAACCCCAUGAGCUUUGUGUUACUUUUGCUCUCAUUUUCUAGGAGGAAAUUGAGGCUUAGAGAGGCUUAGUAAUUUUCUCAAGGUCAUGUAUCUGUUAGGUGUUACAGCCGCCUCUACUGAAUAAAGACCUUGGAAACAACUGUGUUGAUCUGUUCAAGUCCCAGCAUCAUUCGGUAGCGGUUAAGAGAGGAGACUCUGCAGCAGGAUGGUCUGGAUGUGAAACUGCAUCUUCCUCCGGGUCCUGUGUGCAUGUGAGCAAGUUGCUUAAACUCUGUGUUCCAGUUUCUCCCCGGUAUAAGGGGAUAGUGAAAGUACUGAACCCACAAGGUUGGCGACGGAAUGAGAUCAUGUGUGGGAAGCAUCGAGGACAGCGUGUGGCACAGAGGGAGUGCCCAGUACCUGUGAACGCUUAUUAAGUCUGGUCUCUGUUGGGGGGUGGGAAGACAGGUGGUGGUUCUACUCUAGUCUAGCGGGGAAGGCAGCUGUAGACAUAAUUGAAAUCGGGAACAAUGGUGAGAGUCAGCUGAAGGCAGAGCAGAAGAUCAGAGGCGGAGGGACCAAGGAGCCAAGAGGGCCCCUUAUUCUUGUGGUCCUAGAUCUUUGGUCUUUUAGGCUCUGUUGGGAGAACGUGAACAGCAGCAGGGUUUUCCUCCCUGUCCUCUUAAGGUUUCAGGCAUUUGUAAGAAUUAUGACAUGUGGUCGGGGAAUUUCAUGAUUAGACUUUUCCUGCCAACUUGGUAAAAUUUAACACUUGAAGGGGUAGAGCAGAGAGAGUAGAAAAUGUCUUUUCUUUGGGCUUCUUGCACCGUUACCAUUAGUUAGAGCCUUAGGCUAACACAACAGAUCCCUGUUACAGGAACCUUGGGAGUCUGUAUGUUGGAGUUUAGCUAUUUAUUGAAGAGCAUCAACUGUAAGACUUAUAAGUAAAUGAGUCUUUGUGAAUGUAAUGGAUACAAGUUGAGGGAGCGAGGGGUGGGGGGAAUGAAUUCAAAACGGAAGACUAGGCUUCCAAAUAAGAAGGGGCAGAAGGGAGAAGAAAAUAAAUGGAGAGUGUGUGGGAAGCACACACUCCUUGCUUCCCAGCAGUGCAUCCUUUGGGUGCAUGACAGGCAUUCAACAGAUAUUUGCUCAAUCUGAACAGGUGGGUGGUUUACAUUCUAGUCCUACAUUGAGGAUGACCUCUGUGACCUCCUCAUUCCAGAUUUAAGUUGACCCUGUGGGAAAUUAUUCAGGAAAUCAAGCCAGAAGUGAGACCCCCUUUGUCAGGCCUUCCCUCAGAGCAGUCCUCUAUCCUUGUGAAGGUUGCCCCAGAAGACUUAGAGGGAGAUCUGGGAGCCUGCCCUGGUUGCAGCUGAGAAUCACCUGGGGAGCUUUUCGAACACCUGUCUGCUGGGCUGGCCCUCACCCCAGACCAAUCAUAUUAGGAUCUCUGGGGGUGGAGCCUGGGCCUUGGCAGGUAUCGUUUCAAAUCCUCCCCAGGUGAUUUUCAUAGGAUUCAGGGGUGAGGAGCAGGGACUAAGGCAUCAGUGGAUGGGAGGGCUGGUGGUAUCUGCCAGAAGUCUGGGUAUGCAGUUGGCCAGAGGUAAACUGCAAGUCUCGCCUGAAUGAGCGUGGAAGCGUCAGUCACCUUUUAGUUUUCCAGGGUCAUUUUCCCAGAGGCCUCUGUGAGCCUGAAGACGUCUCUGACGGAAGACAUCCCAGCCUAAGGAGGAUGCUAAGGCUGGCGGCAGAGGAAGGAGGCACAUUGUAGGAUUGAGCCUCCUGAUCUACCCUGUGAAAGACUGGUCAUGUGACUGAUGUCAGCCACUGAAAUCUCACAGGCAUCUCCAUUCUGGCAGCCCCGGGACUUGACCCCAGCACAUUGGAUUCUAUUUCACACUGUCCUCAAACCAGCUGUCUAGAUCAUCAACAUGGCCCUUCCCCUGUCUUCACUCAAGGAUUCACCUGUCAGAUACAGAGUAUCUAUUAUGAAGAGACAAGAAGAAUAAUUUUUUGGCUAUAUCUUCAGAUAGUAAGGCUGGCCUUCGUAACCCCUUCAACCAAUAGAAUAUGUCAGAAGUAGAGCUGGGCCAAUUUCCAAGCAAAAGCUUUGAUAAAAUGACAGCUUCCACUUUCUUCCCUUCAUGACUUUGCUCUUGGAUGUCUCCUACAAUGCUGUGAGGUGGUAGAGCAGCCACUUGGAGAGGCCGUGGUGUCAUCCAGUCCCCAGUCCCAGCUAAGGUUCCAACUGACAGCCAGUAUCAGCCAAUAGAUGUGUGAGCCAGCAAGCCUUGCAUGACUCUAGCUCCUGGGUGUCAGGUCACCUUCAGCUUUGGAGCUACCCAGCUGAUGCCAUGUGGAGCAGAGAUGAGCUGGCAGGGCCAGGCCCUACUCCAAGUGCUGAUUUGUAAGGAAAAUAAA